AUGGCGGCCCCCAUGGAUUUGGAGUUGAAAAAGGCCUUCACAGAGCUUCAAGCUAAGGUUAUUGAUACUCAACAGAAGGUGAAGCUUGCAGACAUACAGAUCGAACAGCUGAACAGAACGAAAAAGCAUGCGCAUCUUACAGAUACACAGAUUAUGACUUUGGUAGAUGAAACUAACAUAUAUGAAGGCGUAGGAAGAAUGUUUAUUCUUUAAUCCAAGGAGGUAAUUCACAAUCAGCUGUUAGAGAAACAGAGAAUAGCAGAAGAAAAAAUUAAAGAACUAGAGCAGAAAAAAUCCUACCUGGAGCGAAGCGUUAAGGAAGCUGAGGACAACAUCCGGGAGAUGCUGAUGGCACGAAGGGCCCAGUAGGGAGCCUCCAGAGGAAGCUUUUCCUCCUGACCCCUGCUCUGAUGGACAUUUUAUCUGGAUGGCCUAGCAACCUCACAUUUUCUACAUCAUCCUGAACCCCUUUCAGAUCCUAACGCCAUAAUUUUUACCCUGGCUCUGCCUGCCACCCUGUCUAGACACUCUUCUCUCCCGGGAUGAGUCACAAACUCUUAGGAGGGAAGGUGGGAGCCAGGAUAGAGAGAGAGAGCUCUCCGUGAACUUACCACUAUGCACACUGAUCAGACCAAUAAAAGGCCUCUGU